UACGUAGGUGGCAAGCGUUAUCCGGAUUUAUUGGGCGUAAAGAGAACGCAGGCGGUCUUUUAAGUCUGAUGUGAAGGCCUUCGGCUUAACCGGAGUAGUGCAUUGGAAACUGGGAGACUUGAGUGCAGAAGAGGAGAGUGGAACUCCAUGUGUGGCGGUGAAAUGCGUAGAUAUAUGGAAGAACACCAGUGGCGAAAGCGGCUCUCUGGUCUGUAACUGACGCUGAGGUUCGAAAGCGUGGGUAGCAAACAGG
rnacentral:rRNA from 1 species